rnacentral:rRNA from 1 species
AGAGAUGUGUGAUGACGCAUAUCAAUAAGCGGAGGAAAAGAAACUAACAAGGAUUCCCUUAGUAACGGCGAGUGAAGCGGGAAGAGCUCAAAUUUGAAAUCUUCAAGGUUCUACCUUGACGAAUUGUAGUUUAUAGAAGUGUUUUCUGUUAGUGGAGUGGCAAAAGUUCUUUGGAAUAGGACAUCAUAGAGGGUGAGAAUCCCGUAUUUGGUCAUUCCUCCUAGCGUUGUGAUACACUUUCAACGAGUCGGAUUGUUUGGGAAUGCAGUCCAAAAUGGGUGGUAAAUUUCAUCUAAAGCUAAAUAUUGGCGAGAGACCGAUAGCGAACAAGUACCGUGAGGGAAAGAUGAAAAGAACUUUGAAAAGAGAGUUAAACAGUACGUGAAAUUGUCAAAAGGGAAGCGUUUGACACCAGUGUUGUUUUUCCGAAAAUCAAUUACGAAUGUUUUGUUUUGAGAGUUAUGACUUCAUCGGCUUGCUCCUUUCUUUAUGAAACUUUCUUAAUGCACUUUUCGGUUAACAAGUCAGCAUCAAUUUCUUUUGUUGUAAAAGAGUAUGAGGAAGGUGGCUUUCUUUUCGGAGAAAGUGUUUAUAGCCUUGUACUUCUGCAAUCGGAGAGAUUGAGGUCUGCAGCGUAGAUCCUUCGGGGUUAGAUACACUUGUGCUAAGUUAUAGCUUUUCAUAGACAACUUGUUGAUUAUGUUAAGUCUUGUAGCUUACUCGCUUGUGCUAUUUUACCUACGCUUAGGAUGUUGACGCAUGAGAUAUACGC